UUCCACAGGAGGCCGGGGGUGCGAGCCGAAAGAAGCAGAAAGGGAAUCCCCAGCAAGCGAAAGAAAUGGGGAUAAAAUUCAAGGUCAAGCUAUACAGCGACAGGGCGGGAAGCAGCGGAGACGGCGACGCCGGACCCACACCGCCGCCUGCGCCAGGCCUCGCGCCGUCGCCCUCCCUCGAUCCAUCGGCGGUUUCCACCUCGCCGCCCCCGCUUCAUCCGGCACGGCAGCCGCCGCUGACCCCCAUCGUCAAGUACACGGAUGAAGGACCGGAUGUUGAUGACGAUUGGCCUGAGGACGAGGAUGAUGACUGGCCCGAGGACGAGGAUGAUGAUGAGGACGAGGAUCAAGGACUGGAUGAUGAUGAUUGGCCUGAAGACGAAGAUGAUGAGGGUUGGGAGGUUAUGCAAGAGGAUGAGGAUGAAUUACCAGAUGAGGAGAAAUUCUACAUUUCAUUGUUUAUGAGCGCUCAAAAGAAGAAUCUCCCGCAUGAUCUUGUUCGGCAUGACUCGGUGCCGCUCAACAAAAAUGAAUAUUUUUCUCUGUGGGAAAAUUGGAAUCAGCUGCUGGAUGGCAAGAGAACAUACCUCCGACCACCGAAGGACUGCCGUAUUCUCAGUGUCAGUGGCGUUUUCCGGUGUCCGGAUGCUCGCCCAAGGACAUUAGGAUGCAAGGAACCACUCUUGGAUUUGGUUCAGGAUUAUCCAGAUAAUGACAUUUUCCAGGAAAUAAUCAAGAUUCUUUGUCAGCGCUAUUUGCACAUCAGACGAACUCGCGGAGAUGGCAACUAUUUCUACAGAGCUUUCUUUUUCUCCUACUUGGAAAAUCUUGGACAAAUGCAAGAUAGUCAAGCUGAAGUUACUCGCCUAAUGGAACAUGUGGCAGUGUCCAGAGAGAAUUUCUGUCGUCUGAAAUGGGACAAAGCAUACUUCUUAAAUCCUGAAGAAUACUUUUCAAGUGUUGCUUCUGAGUUGAAUCAUUUGGUCAAUUCUGUUGCAAAUGGUCUGAGUUCUGACGAGUUGUACAAGAGAAGUCUACAGGAGAUCAUGCCACUCAGGAUCAUUUCUUUGCUAAGAUUGCUGGCAGAGACUGAGAUCCGUACUCGAGAAGCUGAUUACAAAUCAUUUAUCCCUGGAAAUAUGAAUGUCAAUCAGUACUGCUACAAGGAGGUGCGCCCCCUGGAUGUUAAACCAACGAUGUUGGCAAUGAGGGCUUUAACAUAUGCACUUGGCAUCCCGCUGCGACUUGAAAUUCUGGGCAGAGCCUUGAUGGCUGGAGAUUUGCAAGUAAAGCGUCUUGAUUUCUUCCCUCGAUCAGAGUCAGGGAAGGGUGCUUUCCAUAUGGUCCAAAGCUACUGGUCCUCAACCUCAACCCCUGAACCACUGGAGCUGGGAAGUGGCAACCUGUUAUUAUCUGAUGGCACACCAUUGCUGACCUUGCUGUGUCGGUCUGAGGACUGCGACAUUCUUUAUCGCAAGUGAACUGUGCAGACCCAUGAUAGCAUGGUAGAAUGUGGUAAGAGUAAUGAUGCUACAUGGGGUAACAAAUUGGGCUACAUCAUCCUUCCAUUUCGUAUAGCCAUGCACGAUGAUCAAAUUGCAUAUAUCCGUGAAGCAAAGAAGAUGGCGGAGCGGAAAAAGAGGUCACUUGAAGUUAUUAUGACACAAAAGAUGACCGAAAUUUUCCUCAAAUGUUUUGGUGUAAAGGUAUAUUUCAUGAACUGCACAAACUUUGAACAAGUUUAUAUCUCGUCACUUCCAUGUUUCUACUUGCACUGCAUUUAUCCAUCAAAGCAGGCAACAUCCUUUAUCGUGCGCCGCAUGCUCGGAAAUACGACAUUAUUGUUCUCCAACAUGAUUGGACCAGUUGAACGGAUAGACUUAUGGGGGCACACGGUUACCUUCAUUGCACCUAGCGUCUACGGGCCAGGAGAGGGCCUAAUUCUGAACUACCAAAGUUAUAGCAGCACUAUCAAGGUAGUUCUAUCGUUUGAUGAGGAAAAGCUUCCAGAUCAUCGUCAUCUUCUGGAUGACUUUGUAGAGUCUCUCAGGCUCAUUAAAGAUGCGGCUUCAAAGCUUACAGAGUCGAGCAAGCAUGAGUCAUUAUACAAAAGUUGGAUGAGUGCGCCACAAGAUACACGUACACAUGUGUGCGAUCAAUAUCACUGUGUAUACCACGUGAUAGAUACUAGUAUACCUAUGUGGUGCAUGUAUUUGGUACUAGAGUAUCUUAGUCCAGAAAUCGAUUAAGCCAAAGCAUGUAAGUAGCAUGCAUUCGACACGCUAUUUUCUUUACUUUCGGACUGUCAUCGACAAGAUCAAGCCUGCUCCAGUAAAGGAGCAGCUCGUUCUGAUGGCAGGAAUGGUUGUUCGGUGAUUCAAG